rnacentral:tRNA from 1 species
GGCUUCGUAGUUGAGCGGUAAUGAUACUUGCCUCUCACCCUAGAGUCACGAGUUCGAUCCCCGGUCGAGGAGCUA